GUGAAUUUAGUUUAACAGAAAAAACAUUUGAUUUGCACUCAAACAAUUUAGUUUAAACCCUAAAGUUUACG
rnacentral:tRNA from 1 species